CAGAUAAAAUCUGAAAGGUUUUGAGAUUUGUGUUUAUUUUAUGCCCAUAUGCUCUGAAGUUGCUGGUGUUUCAAGAAUGUGGCAUCCCAGUCCACACCAAGAAACAAGGGAUGAGCAGAAUUCCUUGCCUUGUAACAGGGCUAGGCUACAGGAGGAGCUGAACCCUAAAGUGCUAUUUUUUUAGCAGAGGUUUGAUCAAUGACUGUUGUUGACCCCUGUUGCGAGUGCACCCCUGCAACUACAGGUGUAAAGUUCAGUUUUUUUUUUGUUUACUUAACUAGGAUUCUUACUUAUAAUUGUGAAUCUGUGCAUGCCAUGCCAAUCUGUAAUGUUCACAAGCUUCCUGUCCAUAUCACACGUUUGGAUAAAAAGUCGGAAUGAAUACUGUCUUGACAUACUCA